rnacentral:rRNA from 1 species
AGGACGAACGCUGGCGGCGUGCUUAACACAUGCAAGUCGAGCGGUGAUCCUCCUUCGGGAGGUGAUCAGCGGCGAACGGGUGAGUAACACGUGGGCAACCUGCCCCUCACACUGGGAUAACCUCGGGAAACCGGGGCUAAUACCGGAUACGACCUCGAGCGGCAUCUCUUGAGGUGGAAAGCUCCGACGGUGAGGGGAUGGGCCCGCGGCCUAUCAGCUUGUUGGUGGGGUAAUGGCCUACCAAGGCGACGACGGGUAGCCGG